AUUGAACGCUGGCGGCAGGCUUAACACAUGCAAGUCGAGCGGGGUGAUGGUGCUUGCACUAUCACUUAGCGGCGGACGGGUGAGUAAUGCUUAGGAAUCUGCCUAUUAGUGGGGGACAACAUCUCGAAAGGGAUGCUAAUACCGCAUACGUCCUAAGGGAGAAAGCAGGGGAUCACUUUUGACCUUGCGCUAAUAGAUGAGCCUAAGUCGGAUUAGCUAGUUGGUGGGGUAAAGGCCUACCAAGGCGACGAUCUGUAGCGGGUCUGAGAGGAUGAUCCGCCACACUGGGACUGAGACACGGCCCAGACUCCUACGGGAGGCAGCAGUGGGGAAUAUUGGACAAUGGGGGGAACCCUGAUCCAGCCAUGCCGCGUGUGUGAAGAAGGCCUUAUGGUUGUAAAGCACUUUAAGCGAGGAGGAGGCUCUUUUGGUUAAUACCCAAGAUGAGCGGACGUUACUCGCAGAAUAAGCACCGGCUAACUCUGUGCCAGCCGCCGCAGUAAGAC
rnacentral:rRNA from 1 species